GACGAACGCUGGCGGCGUGCCUAAUACAUGCAAGUAGAACGCUGAAGGAGGAGCUUGCUUCUCUGGAUGAGUUGCGAACGGGUGAGUAACGCGUAGGUAACCUGCCUGGUAGCGGGGGAUAACUAUUGGAAACGAUAGCUAAUACCGCAUAAGAGUAGAUGUUGCAUGACAUUUGCUUAAAAGGUGCAAUUGCAUCACUACCAGAUGGACCUGCGUUGUAUUAGCUAGUUGGUGGGGUAACGGCUCACCAAGGCGACGAUACAUAGCCGACCUGAGAGGGUGGUCGGCCAACCUGGGAAUGAGACAAGGCCCAGACUCCUACGGGGGGCAGCAGUAGGGGAUCUUUGGCCAUAGGCGGAAGUCUUGACGAGCAAAGGCGGGGGGGUGGAGAAGGUUUUCGGAUCGUAAAGGUCUGUUGUGAGAGGAGAACGGGUGUGAGAGUGGAAAGUUCACGCUGUGACGGUAUCUAAACAGAAAGGGACGGCUAACUACGUG
rnacentral:rRNA from 1 species